UCCCAUGUCCCAUGUAUGGGUCUGGCCCAAAAGUGAAUUAGCCAUUUCCAGGUUCCUCCGCCGGACUUCAUUGCUGCAUACGACGCCGACGUGACCCCAUCCCGUGACUUUCGGAAAAUGACUAGAGAAGAAGUUGAUAAUGGGAGAGACGACAUGUUAAUAGACGGAGAUAAAACUGAACAAAGGAGGCUAAAAACGCCGUUCCAGAUCGAUGGAAUCAAUUCAAUGCCAAUUAUCUAAAAGCUUAUUACGUGUGCUAAUUGUGGGUUGGAAAGCAUCCAGGUUGUGUUCACUUGGGAUUUUUCUUUCACAUUGGAUAAUUAUCUUUACUUGCGAUUUCAAUCAUUUUAUACUGCAUCCAAGCUGGAAAAUGCUAUCAAGGAGGAGUGUUGGACGUUGGGCCUGUCUGCAGCUUAGAUGAUAUGUCAGAUUAUGAUGAUGUUAGAUAUUGCUGUUCAGGAGCUAAUGUUUGUUCAGAGUGCUGAUGGCAAUUGCUAUCAAGGUCAUUGAUACUUCUCUCAGAGAUGACUUUGGGUUCAGCCAAAUCCUGUGGGUAUCCAGUGUUAGGCAUGGUGUUCAUUGUUGGGUUUGUGUCGAGAAGGUCGAACAAUGAACAGAGGUCCGCAAUUGUUGUCUAAAAGAUACUUAGAGAUGCUUUACAUGCCUGCUAGCGGAAAUUAUGAUAGCUUGAGGUUCUAACAGAAAAAAAUAUAGUAUGUUUGGAGAAUAGCAGUCAAGAAGGUUUCUCUAAUGGGUCUCCCGCUUCAUCCGUUCCUUGCGUAAAGUUUUAUCCAUCAAUUUCCUCUUCUUUAGGUUUAGGUUGUACUCUUAGUCGUAUUCUACUUUUGCAGGAAGUCGUAUACUAAAGUCUUGAAUGAUUACUUUGAGAACAAACUGUUAUCAAGUAAAGUUUGUUCUUGAAUGAGGAGAGAUUUUGAGAAGAUACUGGAAAUGAUAUCUGAUGAUUGUAUGCAAGUUUAUCUUUCAUUAUUUAUUCUAAUUCUUGUAAAUCUCAUUGAGUUUUUAGUGAAGUUGAGGUGAUUUUGCAGCUCUUACUUCUGAGCUUGGGGAAAGGUGGCUGUCUAACAAGUGUUCAAAAGAAGAGAUUAAUGUUGCUUGCUGGGAACAACUAAAACACCUAUUGCGAUCCAGUUAACAGAAUGUAGCAAUCUUAUACUAACUUGUACUUGGGGAAAUAAAAGUUUUCAAAUUGCAUGA